AUUGAACGCUGGCGGCAGGCCUAACACAUGCAAGUCGAGCGGUAGCACAGAGAGCUUGCUCUCGGGUGACGAGCGGCGGACGGGUGAGUAAUGUCUGGGAAACUGCCUGAUGGAGGGGGAUAACUACUGGAAACGGUAGCUAAUACCGCAUAACGUCGCAAGACCAAAGUGGGGGACCUUCGGGCCUCAUGCCAUCAGAUGUGCCCAGCUGGGAUUAGCUGGUAGGUGGGGGAACGGAUCACCUAGGCGACGAUCCCUAGCUGGUCUGAGAGGAUGACCAGCCACCCUGGAACUGAGACACGGGCCAGACUCCUACGGGAGGCAGCAGUGGGGAAUAUUGCACAAUGGGCGAAAGCAUGAUGCAGCCAUGCCGCGUGUGUGAAGAAGGCCUUCGGGUUGUAAAGCACUUUCAGCGGGGAGGAAGGCAUUAAGGUUAAUAACCUUAGUGAUUGACGUUACCCGCAGAAGAAGCACCGGCUAACUCCGUGCCAGCCGCCGCAGUAA
rnacentral:rRNA from 1 species